UACCAGCACCCCGAGUGGUCGGGACGAUUAUUGGGCCUAAAGCAUCCGUAGCCGGUUUUACAAGUCCUCCGUUAAAUCCAGCUGCUUAACAGAUGGGCUGCGGAGGAUACUAUAAGACUAGGAGGCAGGAGAGGCAAGCGGUACUCAGUGGGUAGGGGUAAAAUCCGUUGAUCCAUUGAAGACCACCAGUGGCGAAGGCGGCUUGCCAGAAUGCGCUCGACGGUGAGGGAUGAAAGCUGGGGGAGCAAACGGGG
rnacentral:rRNA from 1 species